rnacentral:lncRNA from 1 species
UUCUUACCCAAAUAUGAGCCCAAUGGUUCACGGCGAGGCAGAUCUGGACGACGAUUUGCUUUCCGAGGGAGGCACGACGGUUGUGAGCGGAGAGGCACGGCGGUUACAGGCGGAUGGGCGCGACGGUUUAGAUCUGAAGAAGAAAAGAGAGGGUGGCGGUUGGGUUCGGCGAGCGGCGGCGGUUUUGCUUCGCGAACGGAGAUGGAGACGGCAGAUCGGCGCGCGGGACGACUGCAACGCAG